AUAAAGUUGUACGACAAACAUUCACCCGUGAGAGGGAGCGGCCAGCGGGGAAAAUAAGUUGGUAAGCCGGAGCAGAAGGAGGCCGAGUUAGGACUGAACACCCGAGGAGAGGGGAGAAACCCCGACAGAGAAAAAGGCGACAUAAUGAAUGAAGAGAAUGAAGUAACGUUAGCUGGCACGAGGUAAACUGAAGUUAGCACUCUCAAAUGCCAGUGGAUACGCGGUUGAGUUAGCUAGGCUAACCCGGGGCACCGCAACAGCACGUCGUCAAGUCGAGAACAACACGUAUUGUGGAGCUUCUCCCUUGGUAUCAGUGGCCGUGAUGGGGAGAUAGUGCGUCCUAACCACCGACUACCAUCGCUUACCAUCGUCAUUUUGACCGAGGCGCCUGGGAUGACGCCUGUGUAGAGGAUGAUUGCCCAAAGGUACCAAGCCUGGAAUUUGCACACGACAGCAAUUGCUAUAUUGCAUUCUAGUCGGAUGUUGGUGCCCAACAGGAGAGGUGCAGAAGACGCUUGAUGAGGAGAAGAUGAGAGGACUUUGUGUGAGACCUGGGCCUAUCAACAAGAUGGUCAGAACCAAGUCCCAUGACUGGAGUCCGACAAGUUCUCUACAAGGGAAUGGUUGGAGAGUUGCUGGACAUCUCCUUGCUGAAGGUGACAAGACGCCUACAAAGACCUUGAGUCCAGAUCUGGAAUGGUGUGAAACGGAAGUGUGGUGUCCUAUCAGAUAGGACAUUAAAAUCCACCAAGACUGCUUCUCCACCACUCUACCAAGAUUACAGGGUUGCCCCAACAGAAUUUUUAUUAAUGUUUUUUGCACUGAAUAGGAGCACUUCCAUUUGAAAAAAGUUUACAUGUAACCAUUAACAUGGCGGCAAGGGAGCAGUGCUCUGUCCAGGAAUGGCAUCAACCCCCAAAACCCAGGGUCAGGUCUUCCUGAUUUUGGGAAGUGUGGCACUUCCAAAGGCAGGCAUCUGUGGAGCUGAUUGCUGGAAAAAUAGGCCACUCCGCAAAAGCAGAAAUGACAAGAAGGUUCAGAGACUCUUUUGUGCUGUUAAUUAUUCACCAUGAGGUCUUGUGCUCCACCCUGAUGUCUUUUGGCUUUGUGCCUCACCCCAAAGCGUUAGUUUUUCCUCCCUUGGAGCAUCCAGUCCUUUUGGAUUGGUGUUUCCCUAUGUAAAAAAUUAUUUGGCUGUAUAAACCUCAAAACACAACAUGGCUUUGGCCAAAAGACACAUAGGUACUACUGACCAGGACAAAUGCUCGGCACUGGCCUAGUGGUGUGACUUUGCCCAGGAAGAUCUGCUAGUACAGCUCAUUUAUCUAGACUCCGAGGUCACAGCAGUUAGUGAGCAGACCUUUUAUUUUCCAUGUAGAAGUGUUUGAAGCCUUGAAUUAUAUGCAUUGCGUAAUUUAGAAAUACAUUUAUUUUCUCAAAUGUACAGUUCCAUGUGGUUAUUGGGUCAAGCCAAAAUCUGUUAAGAAUAAAACAUUUCAGAAAAUAGCUUUUUCAAAAGAAAAA